UACAGAGGUCCCGAGCGUUGUUCGGAUUCACUGGGCGUAAAGGGUGCGUAGGUGGUGAGGUAAGUUUGUGGUGAAAGCUCCGGGCCUAACCCGGAAAAUGCCUCGAAUACUAUCUCGCUAGAGGGUUGUAGGGGAGACUGGAAUUCUCGGUGUAGCAGUGAAAUGCGUAGAUAUCGAGAGGAACACCAGUGGCGAAGGCGAGUCUCUGGACAACUCCUGACACUGAGGCACGAAAGCCAGGGGAGCAAACGGG
rnacentral:rRNA from 1 species